AUUAGAUUCAUGUUCUUUUAUUAACUUGUGAGCAUCCCUCUUUUAUUUGUCUAUUCUACCAUUAUGCCAGUAACUUCAUGAUAGAAAAAUCAUAGAAAGCUAGAAAGAUGGUGUCACCAUUGUUAAAUUAACUAAGUUUAGAGACUAAUUCGAGAGAAUGGAAUGUAAUAGAGAGAAAUAGAGUAGUAGCUUCUUUAGAGGAUCAGGAUCCAUGGUGUACUAUUCCCCACAUAUAGAGAUGACGUAAUUAACCUGUUAAGUAAUCGUGCUUGAAAUUUAAACUUCCAAUACUUUUCUUCAAUCUUUCUUUUUUAUUGUCACUAUCUUUUUUGCUACCAUCCUUCGAUCUCUUGCAUCCACAAAUUUACCAGCACUAUGUUGAUCACCAUGUCUGCAUCUGAACCAUGUGCAUAUAUGUGUUCACUAGUCAAUCUUG
rnacentral:lncRNA from 1 species